AUCCAGCAUAGGAGUCCCAAAUAGGACGAAACGCGCAUCCUGUAU
rnacentral:hammerhead_ribozyme from 1 species